AGGAGGAAGAAGGGCUUAGGAAAACAGGAACCAGGAGUCUGAGGUGGCAGUAAAGCAAAGGAAGGAGGGAAGAUUUAAGAAAUUAGACAAAAGACUUGGAAAAGAGAGUGGGGCAGUAGAAUGAGGGAAACAGAAGAGGUCAGGCAGAGAGAAGUGUGAGAUGAGAAGGAAAAGUGAACUAAGAAGAUAGCUGCAAAUGGUGAGGAGAAACAGAAAAAAACGCGCUUAAACCCAGCAUUUUUUUAAAAAUGGAAAUACAUCAAGAUAAGCUAGAAUUCAGAGGACAAAGACUGAUUUUGUGUGGAGUGCUUCCAAGGACCUUGAAUGGACUUCGGGGCAUUAUUAAAGAUGUGCAGUGAUGCCUGGAGAUGAUUAUGUUGUUCUGAGACUAUCACAAAACACAUACCUGACCCUGCAGCUGAGCUAAUGGAAUCAGAAAGAGGGAGAAAAGAUCAAUGCAGCUUCUCUUUAGCAUGGCUGUCACUUGCUUGAU